rnacentral:rRNA from 1 species
CACUACAGCCACGCUAUCUUGGAUAAGCCCGAUCCCAUCUGAUCUCAGAAGCUAAGCAGGGUCAGGCCUGGUUAGUACUUGGAUGGGAGACCACCUAGGAAGACCAGGUGCUGUAGGUG